rnacentral:rRNA from 1 species
GAUGAACGCUGGCGGCGUGCCUAAUACAUGCGAGUCGAGCGAACGGACUAGAAGCUUGCUUCUCUGACGUUAGCGGCGGACGGGUGAGUAACACGUGGAUAACCUACCUAUAAGACUGGGAUAACUUCGGGAAACCGUAGCUAAUACCGGAUAAUAUUUUGAACCGCAUGGUUCAAAAGUGAAAGACGGUCUUGCUGUCACUUAUAGAUGGAUCCGCGCUGCAUUAGCUAGUUGGUAAGGUAACGGCUUACCAAGGCAACGAUGCAUAGCCGACCUGAGAGGGUGAUCGGCCACACUGGAACUGAGACACGGUCCAGACUCCUACGGGAGGCAGCAGUAGGGAAUCUUCCGCAAUGGGCGAAAGCCUGACGGAGCAACGCCGCGUGAGUGAUGAAGGUCUUCGGAUCGUAAAACUCUGUUAUUAGGGAAGAACAUAUGUGUAAGUAACUGUGCACAUCUUGACGGUACCUAAUCAGAAAGCCACGGCUAACUACGUG